rnacentral:rRNA from 1 species
GGGGAAUAUUGGACAAUGGGCGCAAGCCUGAUCCAGCAAUGCCGCGUGUGUGAAGAAGGCCUGCGGGUUGUAAAGCACUUUCAGUGGGGAAGAACGGGCCAAGGUUAAUACCCCUGGCUUCUGACGUUAUCCACAGAAGAAGCACCGGCUAACUCCGUGCCAGCAGUCGCGGUAAUACGGAGGGUGCAAGCGUUAAUCGGAAUCACUGGGCGUAAAGCGCACGUAGGCGGCACGUUAAGUCAGCUGUGAAAGCCCUGGGCUCAAUCUGGGAAUGGCAGUUGAUACUGACGCGUUCGAGUCUGAGAGAGGGGGGUGGAAUUCCAGGUGUAGCGGUGAAAUGCGUAGAUAUCUGGAGGAACACCGGUGGCGAAGGCGGCCCUCUGGCUCAUGACUGACGCUGAGGUGCGAAAGCGUGGGGAGCAAAC